rnacentral:rRNA from 1 species
UACGGAGGAUGCGAGCGUUAUCCGGAUUUAUUAGGUUUAAAGGGUGCGUAGGCGGAUAAGUAAGUCAGCGGUGAAAGCUUGUUGCUUAACAACAGAAUUGCCAUUGAUACUGCUAAUCUUGAGUACAAUUGAGGUAGGCGGAAUGUGUAAUGUAGCGGUGAAAUGCUUAGAUAUUACACAGAACACCGAUUGCGAAGGCAGCUUACUAAGCUGUAACUGACGCUGAGGCACGAAAGCGUGGGGAG